rnacentral:rRNA from 1 species
GACGAACCGUGCGAACGUUGUUCGGAAUCACUGGGCUUAAAGGGCGCGUAGGCGGGUUCGCAAGUCAGGGGUGAAAUCUUUCAGCUUAACUGGAAAACAGCCCCUGAUACUGCGAGUCUCGAGGGAGGUAGGGGCAUGUGGAACUUCCGGUGGAGCGGUGAAAUGCGCAGAUAUCAGGAGGAACACCGGUGGCGAAGGCGGGAUCCUGGGCCAGUACUGACGCUGAGGAGCGAAAGCGUGGGGAGCAAACAGG